rnacentral:rRNA from 1 species
GUGGGCCCUCGAAUUCCUGUGGAGGGAGGAUUCAGUCUGUAGUUGGUGCAGCGCUGGUCGGAAAUUGGCAGGGCUUCCCGAGCACGGGGCCGUCCGACUGCGAGCUACGCAAUCGAUAGACGCAAUUGACUCCCUCUCCGAGGACGCCGCAGCCCGCGGGGAAGUGCAAACGUGACGGCCUUGAGGGCGGGAGAUGGCAGGUGGCCGGUACCGGGCUUCGGCCCGGCGCCGGUUGUUAGCCGUCCCGUCGGUGGCCCGUCUCCCCGCGGAGGUAUCGUGACGCCUUUCGGGGCGUUCGACGUCUCCUCCUCCUAUGCGGAUGCCCGGACUUACGGUGGCGAGCGAAGGCAGCCGCGCGGCCGCACUAGGAUCUAGUGGGCCAGCGUCAGGUCGGCGCCGGCGGCCGCCGAGGACCGGUUGGAGGCUGGAGGCUAGCGGCGAGUAGGUCGGUCACCCACCCGACCCGUCUUGAAACACGGACCAAGGAGUCUAACAUGUGCGCGAGUCAAUGGGUCUUGAACAGGCCCAGAGGCGCAAUGAAAGUAAAGGUCGCGCGCACGCCGACCGAGUCGGGAUCCAGGCUUCAAUGCCAGGCGCACCGACGGCCCGCCCUCUGCCGUUUACGGCUUGGGCGG